UGAGUAUUUAGCUAGUACUUGAAUAAAAAAGGGUUAAUUUCAUAUUGGUUUCUACAAACAUAGUGAAUAGUAAAUAUAUCUCUACAAAGCUCAAUUUUUAUAUGUUACUCCUACAAAAGUCCUGAUUUUUUAAAUAUAUCUCUGCCGUUAGAAUUCACUAGAAAAUUUUAGUUAAUUAUAGGUUAAAUACUUCAUUUUGAUUAGUUUUUUAUAUUUUUACCACUCUUCUAUUAUAUUGUUAUGAUUUUUGGUGUGACAUAUUUAUAAAAAUAAAAUUAAAAAUAUAAACGGUUCUCUAAUAAUUCUUCAACGAUAACAAAUCAGAUAAAUAUAUUUAAAACAUUAAAGCGUUUUGCACGAAAAAUAUAUAAAAAUUAAAUUUUAUAAUAAUAUAUUUAUUAUUUAUUAUAUUUGUAGGAAGAUACAUAAAAUUAAGGGUAACUUCAAAUACCCUCCUGUGGUUUCACACUUUCUCACUUUAGGAUUCUGUGGUUUAAAGUGUAUCAAGUUAGCCUAUGUGGUUUCGCACUUUUUCACUUUAGUAUCCUGUGGUUUAAAGUGUAUUAAGUUAGUACUCUGUGGUUUUAUUUUAAUUCUUUUAUUAUUGAUUUUACUAAUUUUUUUCGUUAAAGCAGUGACAAAGUUAAAACCAAAGAGUACUAAAAUGAAUAUUCGAUAAAUCUAGAUAGAGUAUUUAAAUUUUUAUAUAUAAUUUAAUAAAAUAUUAACAAAAAAUCUAACGAAAAAUAAAAUAAAAUUAUAGAAUACUAACUUGAUACACUUCGAACUGUAGAGUACUAAAAUGAUAAAGUGCAAAAUCACGGAGUGAUUUUUGAAGUUUUUUUAUAAAAUUAACCCUU
rnacentral:lncRNA from 1 species